CCUCUUUUCUUGGCAUGCACGCCGUUUCCUUGUACUCGUGUAUGUUAUGGAGGGACAAAAUGCCCAGUGCUAUGUCUUCGGUGCCAGAAUGUUUCUCGUCUUCUGGUUCUAUCCUCAGUCACUGGUAUACUC